UUCGCCCCUCUCUCAUGAUGACCUCUCCUUCCCUUCCUCUCAUUCCUCCUCAUCCAUAUCUUCUCACCUUUUUCCUCCUCUAAACUCACCCAUAACACCUCCUUCCCCCUCCUCUAUCUCUUCACCCACUUCUUCUCCUCUUCCUCCAAGCCCACUCAUGAUCCCUCUUCUAUAGUAGCUCCCUCCACUUCUACCUUUUUUUGUCGAUAACCUCUCUUUCUCUCUCAUCUCUUUCCUCCUCAUCUACUUCCCUUCAUUAUCUUCCUCCGCCUCUAAACCCAUCCAUAAGUGCUCUCCCUCCUAACCCCUUAUUCUUUUCCUCUUCCUCC
rnacentral:lncRNA from 1 species